rfam:Ixodes scapularis strain Wikel colony gcontig_1108379393914, whole genome shotgun sequence.
UCCUCGUUAGCUGAGUUGGUAGAGCGCUCCACUGGAGGUGGAGGGGUCUCUGGUUCGACUCCAGGACCAGGCG